GUCCAGCGUCGCUAUCAUCACCUCAGCCUCGAUGCUUGCCUCGGCGGCAAGCCUGCCAUCUCGCGGACGUAUGACACCCGCUAACCCUAGGACUCGCUCGUCUGCCCUCUCAUCUGUCCUGGGUUUGAUGAGGGGCGGUGGGCGUUUCCCGUCUCCUUGGCCUGGCAGCAGUCGAUGGUCCUCACUCCUCGGUGGCCACAGUUCCAGCAGCAUAGUGUCCGAGUUCCACGGCAUUCCCUGGCAAAGUGUCCCAGCACUCCGCAGUUCCGGCACGUAUUACGUGUGUCCACCGGUUGCUCGCUGCUGGAAUUGCCUAUCGUUCCUGGAUCCUUUCCCUCUUUAGGCACCGCUGAUGCGUUCGAAGUCGUCUACUGUAAUCCGGGUUUUUGGCUCGUUGCGCCGGUUCCCCGCUUUAACAUCGCUGCUGAUCCUGUCCUGGUUCUGGCUUGACGUUGAUGCUCGCGUUCCCGGGUGAUCUCAAAGUUGAUCACCAGUUGUGUUACCUGUUUGAAUGUGCGGAAGUCCAUGCGUCUCACGUACAACUGGUAUUCGGGCAGCAGAUUUUCGUACACCCGCUCGAGUUCCAG
rnacentral:lncRNA from 1 species